GAAUAACUUUGCUGUACACCAGAAACUAACACAUCAUUGUAAAUCAACUAUACUUCAAAGAAAAUUAUCUUUGUACUUUAAAAAAAACAAACGCUCCUAGUGACAUUGAAACAACCCAAUGUCCAUCAAUAAUAGAAUAGAUCAUGAAUUGGGUAUAUUGAUGUAAUGGAAUAAUAUGGCAUGAAUGGUAGUAAACUCUCAGAGACAACAACACGGAUAAAUACCACAAACACAAUGCUGAGCUUUUAAAAGAAAUAAGACACAAAAGAAUGCAUACACUAUUAUUCAACUCAUAUAAAAUUUAGAAACAGAAAAAGCUAAGCUAUACUGUUCAAAGGAUGUAUUUGUUUUUAAGGACUCGUAUGUGCUAUAUCUUACCAUUUAAAAAACAAGAAUGAGAAAGAGCUAUUCAACAAAAACUUUUCUUAAGCAUGAUUAUGGGUGGCCACAUCCUGUGCCAUCCCCGGAUGGACCCCGCUCAGAAGUCACUUUCUUACAAGGCCUUUGGGACCACUCAGACUACACUAGCCCAACCUCAUCACUUUCAUUUCUUCAUAGCACUUCUCACCACACAAAAACAUCGUGAUCAUUCACGUUUUACUUGGUAAUAGUCUAUCUCCUCCAUGGAGGAAAAAAGGAGAAUGGGAACUGAAGAAGUAGAUACAGAGGAGAUAAACAACUACUUCCAUAAUUUCUUUUUUCCGAGGGAGAAUAGAAAUGUAGCAGGAGAUGGACAAGGAGCCAAGGGAGAUCCUUUUCCUCUUCUUUUUUUAAGAUGAAUCCUGAUAAGACAUAGGAAAGCCUGGGAACCACUAUCUCCUGCAAUCUUCACCCAAGUAAGGGUCCAAUUCACAGGAACCACGUGCCCUGCUGAUUAACAACUCGGGCCACAGCAAGAGGUGGAUCUGGCCUCCAAGCCCCUCUCCAUGACCAGCUGACUCUGGCCAGGAAGGACUCCGAGGAAAUCAACUUCUCUUCUAUGUGACGGUUACCUCCAAAUUGAGCUCCAAAUUCUGCAGAGCUGUUGAUCACACCGGGAGGCUGUUGGGGAGCUCAGCCUCCCUGAGUCCCUCUCAGAGCCUCUACUUACUGCUGGAAACCUCUUCCCAAGGGAGGUCUCUCAUCUAAAGUCAUUUCCAUGGAGUCCAGAGAAUCUUCCUCAGGGGAAGCAACUUCGCCAUCCAGUGAAACAAGAGGCUGCUGAUCCCAUAUUCCCAGUAUAAGAUCCCCAUACAUGACCCUCUGCCUUACGUGCAUGUGCCAUCAUUCCAUCAUUCAACCAGCCAGCUUUAAGGGCAUGCUUGCCAAGCUACAUAGGCACUAAAGGGAGUGCAAAGGAAAUAUGAGGUCUGGACCUUAAGGACCUAAGGACACACGAUAAAGACACUCAAUAGCUUACGUGACCUCAGACAAAUCACUUCACCAUUCUAACCUUCAGUUUCCUCAGUGUGAAAAAGGGAUAGUAAUAACUCCCAAUGCAAGAGUUAUUGUGAGAAUUUAGUGAGAUGAUGCUAGCUGUUACUAUAGAAGAUACUCACACGCAGACACCCUUCUUCCUUGUUUUCAGAACCCCAAUUUUGUUCAAGAAAGCACUGUGCCUGCCCCAGACUCUGAAUUAAAAUUGAUAUGAUAUGGUCACAAUAAUCCUAUUCCUCUGUUAGAUACUGACUUUCCCAGCUUCCGUUGUGCCUGGGAAUGUCUAUUUGACCUUGCUCUGGCCUAUGAAAGUUAAGAGAAGUCAUCUGAGAGGCUUCUGGAAAUUUUUUUGCUUUCCUGUAAAGGAGGCAGGCAUGAGAUAAUACACGUAAGUGUCCCCAACCUGCGUGCACACACACACACAUUUUCUUUCAUCUUUCUUCCUUGAAUUCAGAUGCAAUGCUUGGAGCUGUGGUAGCUAUUUUGUGACCAUGAAGUGGUAAACGUGAAGGCAAUAGUCAAAAGCUAAGGACAGAGAAGCUGAAAUGAAGAAUGACCCUAGAUCCUUGAUGAGACCCUAGAGCUGAUGAACCAACCUCUGAAUGCCUUCCUCCAGAGUUCUUAAGUGAGAUAAUAAAUGCUUGAAUAUGUAAGCCACUAUUAAUCAGUUGUCACUCACAGCCUAAAGCAUCCCUAAUUGAUUCAAUGAUAUUGUCUAUUAUCGUCCACUCCAAGCUCCCAUUCACUGUUCCUUCUUUGACUUGGAGCAGGGAGCCAAGUACUUUGGCUAUGAGAGGCAGUACUUUGGACCAGGUCAUCCACAGUAAAGUUGAGCCCCUCUAUUAUUUUGCAUAAAGUCCUCCUCUACAAAGGAUCCCAGCACAAUCAGCAACAUGAGCAGCCCUUAGCCCCAUAUGGCUCAAAAAUGCUUCUCAGAGAUUCUUCCCAUAUGACACCAUAUUUGCGUCCCCCCGCCUUGACCAAUCCCAUGCUUCACGUGUCUCACAUGUUAUAUUAACACUAUUCUGGGUCAUGUCCUGGGCAUUCCACUCUGCUCCAAUGGAAAAACUUCUGAGAACCAGGUUUCACAAUUGCCCAUAAGGGCAGAGAGAUCUGAACAUGUGAUCAAAUGCAUAGAAACUUAACACAGUACUCAGCACAGUGGCUGGUACCUAGUCGUCUCUCAAUGAAAGGCCACUGUUAUUACCAUCAUCAUGACCAUUAUCACUAUAUAACACGGUUGCUGUCACUUCUAAAUUCAGCUCUUCCACAAAGGGAUAGACAAGCCCUACACUUCUGAGUCCACCCACCCUCUGUGACUUAGAGAUCAGGAUUCCUUCUGACAUGGUAUGUUCCUAGCGCUGGGGGGAAUACCAGGUGCUGGUAAGUGAGCAGGUGCCUGAUAGGUUACAUGAAGAAAGAGGCAGGACUUAGACUGACCAUUCAGGAGAUGAGUCAGGGCCAUGGUAAAGAAUCACACCCUAUCUUCCCAACCUGGACUGAAAGUCAGGAUGAAUUUUAUAUUAUUCAUAAAUACCCAACAAGUAUUUAUUGAGGUACAUGGCAAGUGCUCAAAAUUGUACUAUAAAAUUCCCAUGGAAAACAAGGGAGACAGUAAGAUAUAUACUGCAGAGGGGAUUUAUGGCUUGAUUAAAGGCAUUCAUUCCAGGAAAACAUCCUCAGGUUUCAGCCAUUCACUUUCCUGGAAUUCUUUUUUUUUGUUUUUGGGGUUUUUUUAAGUUUAUUUUUGGCUGUGUUGGGUCUUUGUUGCUGGGCGCAGGCUCUCUCUAGUUGCAGCAAGGAGGGGCUACUCUUCGUUGCAGUGCACGGGCUUCUCAUUACGGUGGCUUCUCUUGUUGUGGAGCACAGGCUCUAGGUGUGUGGGCUUCAGUAGUUGUGGCUCACAGGCUCUAGAGCGCAGGCUCAGUAGUUGUGGCACGCGGGCUUUGUUGCUCCGCGGCAUGUGGGAUCUUCCCGGACCAGGGCUCGAACCCGUGUCCCCUGCAUCGGCAGGCGGAUUCUUAACCACUGCGCCACCAGGGAAUUCCCACUUUCCCGGAAUUCUAACUGAGGUACCAAGCUGGAAGGGCCCCAAAGAUACACACCAAGCUUCCCAAAGAGCUCUCCUCUAAAAUGUACACUGCAGCUCUAUAAACAAGCCAAUCCAAGGCAACUAAAUGAUGAUGCGGUGGGACUCCCCUUUAUUUGGUACCAAAGCAACAAGCAAUCUCCUCGUGCCCUGGGUCGCCACCCAGCGCGGUGGGGAAAUACCCCAGUGAGUGGUGUUAGUGCAAAGGGGGCAGGACUGCAGCCAGGACACCUGUAUCUCCAUCUGCAAACCACCCUCGCCCCCACCACUAAAUCGCUGCACAACUACAGGCAGAUCACCAAGCCUCCCUGGGCCCCCAUCUCCCAACUUGUCAAGU